rnacentral:rRNA from 1 species
GAUGAACGCUGGCGGCGUGCCUAAUACAUGCAAGUCGAGCGAACAGACGAGGAGCUUGCUCCUCUGACGUUAGCGGCGGACGGGUGAGUAACACGUGGAUAACCUACCUAUAAGACUGGGAUAACUUCGGGAAACCGGAGCUAAUACCGGAUAAUAUAUUGAACCGCAUGGUUCAAUAGUGAAAGACGGUUUUGCUGUCACUUAUAGAUGGAUCCGCGCCGCAUUAGCUAGUUGGUAAGGUAACGGCCUACCAAGGCAACGAUGCGUAGCCGACCUGAGAGGGUGAUCGGCCACACUGGAACUGAGACACGGUCCAGACUCCUACGGGAGGCAGCAGUAGGGAAUCUUCCGCAAUGGGCGAAAGCCUGACGGAGCAACGCCGCGUGAGUGAAGAAGGUCUUCGGAUCGUAAAACUCUGUUAUUAGGGAAGAACAAAUGUGUAAGUAACUAUGCACGUCUUGACGGUACCUAAUCAGAAAGCCACGGCUAACUACGUG